CUCGGUGGCUAUGGCGGGGGAUCUACCCGAUCCAUCUCCGAACUCGGUCGUCAAGCCCUCCAGCGUCGAUGGUACUGCACAGGUGACUGUGGGAGAGUAGAACGCCGCCGGGG
rnacentral:rRNA from 1 species